UACGUAGGGGGCUAGCGUUGUCCGGAAUCAUUGGGCGUAAAGAGCGUGUAGGCGGCUCGGUAAGUCCGCUGUAAAAGUCCAGGGCUCAACCCUGGAAAGCCGGUGGAAACUGUCGAGCUAGAGUCCGGAAGAGGCGAGUGGAAUUCCUGGUGUAGCGGUGAAAUGCGCAGAUAUCAGGAGGAACACCAAUGGCGAAGGCAGCUCGCUGGGACGGUACUGACGCUGAGACGCGAAAGCGUGGGGAGCAAACAGG
rnacentral:rRNA from 1 species